GUUCUGCUGCUGCUGCUGCUGCUGCUGCAGCAGCAGCAGAACCAGCAGCAAAUAUCAUCAAACCCAAAGUUCGAGUCGUCACCAAAAAAAACUGGAAAAUCGCAUAAGCAGCAGCAGCAGCAGCAGCAGCAGCAGCAGCUGCUGCUGCUGCUGCUGCUGCUGCUGUUGUUGUUGUUGUUGUUGCUGCUCGUUCUGCUGCAGCAGCUGCUGCUCCUGCUGCUGCAGGCGCUUCUGCUGCAGCAGCUGCUUUUGGUUUAGUUGUUGCAGCAGUUCCAAACUGCAGCCGUUGCUGUGGCCGCAGCAACAGCAACUGCAGCAGCAGCAGCUGCAGCAGCAGCAGCAGCAGCUGCAGCAGCAGCAGCUGCAGCAGCAGCAG
rnacentral:sRNA from 1 species